rnacentral:lncRNA from 1 species
GUAAGAAGCAGGCUAAGCUGGACACUUCCGGUAUAGCCCCAGAGGUCACAGGAACAGGUGAGCAUCUCCGCAGCCCGCCUUAGACAGGCCUUUGUCUCUCCUUCCAACUGUGCCAGCAUCUCCCAAUAAGCCUCUCUGAGUCCAUUCAUCGCCCACACAACCACAGCAACCUGUGUGACUGCCACAAGUCCAGUGGCUCCCCAAAGAUCUGCACCGGAGAAUGAAAUCCCCACACCUGCAGGCUCAUCACAAUACGAAGCCAUCCCACGCUCUGAGCCUGCUCUGCUCCAUUCUUACGUAUGCUAAACUCUAAAGACACUAGUUUAUUUGCAAUGUCCAACCAGGCUACUCCUUCUCAAGUCUUCAGACACACAGCCCUCUCUGCUGUGAAACCCUCUCCUCACCUCCGAGACCCGCUCAUUAUUGUCUGCUGAAUUCUACUCAUUCUUCAGGGCUGACAUACAGACAACCCGCUGGGAAGCCUCCGCCAACCAUUUCUGAAAAAUUAGUCCCUCUUACCAUAGCACUUACCUACUCCCCCGCUUCUAUUCUAUUCUCUUCACCCAGCCUUUCUAGAUAGCCAAGUAUGUGCCAGUGUCCUGGACUAAGGUUGGAGCAGGUCGUCAGGAAAAGCAGCAGAGGAGGAACACCAUUUCAGUAGGAUCCUGAACGAUGACUAGAGACUCACUCGGUGAAUGAGAAAGGGCAGGACACGCCCAGGACACGCCCGGGAGGAAGCAGCAAGAGGACAGGCUUGGAGAUGGUAUAUGGACUGUUACUUCCAUCCCACAAAUUUGCAGCCAGGAAGGCAAAGGGAGGCUGCUGUGGCUUUACAAAAAGGCUGAGAGACGUUAACCCUCCCAGCUUCCCAUUCCCAGAGGAAAACCGAGGGAGGAGGAAAUAUGAGGAAAUGAUUCCUCGUGGCUGCUGGAGAAGAGGGAAAUGAUAGUUCCAUGUGGAUGGGGAUUAUAGUGCAAGCAUUUGACAUGGAGGCUGACAAGAGAGAGAACGGCAGGAGAAUCAUGCCUGGAGAAAGAAUGGGAACGAGGUAUGUGAGCAUCAAGCCCACUCCAAACCAAGGGAGGGCAGGCGCUGCGAAGAGCUGCAUAUGCUCUAUCAUGCAUAUUGCAUGUCUCAUCUCCUUUCUCACGUUUUCUCUGAAGCAGUAAAGAGUAAUUCAAAAACUUUGAAUAUAGGAAUAACAUUUGUGACAACAACAACAUUCUGGACAUCUGCACUGUUAGAGUACUUAUAAUAAAGUCACAUGGCCAUGGGGAAAUUUCACAGAAUUACAAUCUCAGUAAUUUGCCAAGGUGUAUAACUAGUUUGUUUUCAGCUGUUCUUCUCAUGAAUAAUUAUCAAGCAGGAAUAUCCUAAAGCUAGCACAAGCUGUCACUUAACCAAAAUAUUC